UACGUAGGGGGCAAGCGUUGUCCGGAUUCAUUGGGCGUAAAGAGCGUGUAGGCGGCCAGGUAGGUCGGUUGUGAAAACUGGAGGCUCAACCUUCAGAGGUCGACCGAAACCAUCUGGCUAGAGUCCGGAAGAGGAGAGUGGAAUUCCUGGUGUAGCGGUGAAAUGCGCAGAUAUCAGGAAGAACACCAAUGGCGAAGGCAGCUCUCUGGGACGGUACUGACGCUGAGACGCGAAAGCGUGGGGAGCGAACAGG
rnacentral:rRNA from 1 species